UUAAAACAUUUCAGAAUUUUUAAGAUAUUAACAAUUAAAUAAGUAUGUGAUUACAUCAUGACAUCAUGAAGGAGGCUACUGAUUCUGGCCCUGUGACACUUGGUGGUGACGUGUGAGCUGAUUCACCUGGACACUCAGCAAAAUAUGGACUCUACACCAUGAGGCAGGCACACGUUAAUACUCUAUAAGAGCACAUAAGCCUGGCUGAUCACCUGAUAACUCCUGUCAUCUGGUUGUGACAGCAUGAGGAUGUCCUCACACACCUGUAACCUAUCAGCUCAUCUGGCAGAAUAGAGAGAGAAGAGACAACACCACAUCUCCUGUUCCUGGAAAGCCUUCAGCCAUACUUCGAUGACUGAGAACCUCCAUCAGCUCUGUCUCCUGUCUGCCUACAAUUAUUAUAAUAAAUAUUGUGUUUGACAAGUUUUUUGUGCUGCCAAAUAUCUCAUUUUU